UGCAAACUUUGAUUUUUAUACUGGUUCGGGCAACCUGCCUACAUCCAGUGUUCUUCCACUCAACCUGAGAUGGAAGCCAAUACACUAUAGAGAUCUGUGUUUUUACAACAAGGGCUUUAUAGUGACCUCACGUCAAAAUGUAAAUCACCUCUCUAACUUACUAAUCUAAUAUAGGCAGAAACAAAAGUAGACUAGAAGCAAGAACAAUCUUCUCCUACAAUCAACUCUUUGAGAUCCCCCUCAAAGUCAAGAACCACAUUCUUCUUCUUGUAUACACCACAGGGAAACAACAACUUUCAGCGAUUGCAAUAGCUCUUAAUCAACCAGGAUGCACCUUUGUUGUGCAGAAUAAUUAGACGUCAUGACUCAAAUAAUCUUGCUACACAAGAAACCUUUAAGACUUGAUCACCACGACAAUUCUUGGUUCUUGGAGCUUUUAUAUCUUUUGUAAAACCUCAAAGCUUUAAUCUAAAACAAGUAUGAAAGUGUAAAUUCACAAUUGUCUUACAGAAUUCAAACCAUGCGUCUAUUUAUAGUGUAA
rnacentral:lncRNA from 1 species